AACGAACGCUGGCGGCGUGCUUAACACAUGCAAGUCGAACGGUGAAAGCGGAGCUUGCUCCGCUGGAUCAGUGGCGAACGGGUGAGUAACACGUGGGCAACCUGCCCCUCACUUCGGGAUAACUCCGGGAAACCGGGGCUAAUACCGGAUAUGACCUCCUUGGGCAUCCUUGGAGGUGGAAAGUUUUUCGGUGAGGGAUGGGCCCGCGGCCUAUCAGCUUGUUGGUGAGGUAGUGGCUCACCAAGGCGACGGCGGGUAGCCGGCCUGAGAGGGCGACCGGCCACACUGGGACUGAGACACGGCCCAGACGCCUACGGGAGGCAGCAGUAGGGAAUCUUCCGCAAUGGACGAAAGUCUGACGGAGCAACGCCGCGUGAGUGAUGAAGGCUAUCGGGUCGUAAAACUCUGUUGUUAGGGAAGAACAAGUGCUAGUUGAAUAAGCUGGCACCUUGACGGUACCUAACCAGAAAGCCACGGCUAACUACGUGCCAGCCGCCGCAGUAA
rnacentral:rRNA from 1 species